CCCAGAAGAGAAAGAAAAGGGAAGAAAACCUCAACGACAGAGAAACUAAAGGACUUUCCUGAGGAAUUGCAACCAAGUAAUCAUGAAGUAGAAAUCGAUGCACCUUUCGAUUUUCAAGUGUUCCAGCAAGUGAGAGCUGAACUUAUGGAGCUUCUGAAUGGGAUUCGGGCUUCCAAUAGUACUGAAGUGCCAGGCACUGAAUCUGAAUGGAAGAAAAGGCAUUUUGUUGCGCAUGCUGACUGGAA